AUACGGAGGGGGCUAGCGUUGUUCGGAAUUACUGGGCGUAAAGCGCACGUAGGCGGAUUAAAAAGUUAGAGGUGAAAUCCCAGGGCUUAACCCUGGAACUGCCUUUAAAACUAGUAGUCUCGAGUUCGAGAGAGGUGAGUGGAAUUCCAAGUGUAGAGGUGAAAUUCGUAGAUAUUUGGAGGAACACCAGUGGCGAAGGCGGCUCACUGGCUCGAUACUGACGCUGAGGUGCGAAAGCGUGGGGAGCAAACAGGAUUAGAAACCCCAGUAGUCC
rnacentral:rRNA from 1 species